GUGAUCAAUUAUGUUUUUGUUGUUCAGGAAAAUGCUAGUUUUUAUGAGCAUUCUUUUCUGUGUAUGUAGUUACACUGGAAAGCAAUAUGUUUUAAAAUUAUUGUAUCCUAAGUAGUCGUGGAAGCCCCAGUAUUGAAAAAGUUAAGCCUAAAAGUUAUGUUUCUUAUGAAGUUUUACAUUCAUUUUAGUCAUAUUAUUCUUCCUUUCAAGGAGUAUCUCCAUGGUGGUCAAAACCCACAGAAAUUGAUAUCAUCUCUUCUGACUACAAGUUUACAUGUGUUUUGUGGAAUGAAUGGCUUGGACAAAAGCACUGGUAAAUCACCUGAAACAAAACUGCCUGACACUCAAAUAGCUGCUAAUGGUGUUUCUAUAGCAACUCCCCAGGGAGUUUUCCUGUUAUCUGGGUGAAGUUAACUGGAAACAAGUAAAUAUACUUGAGAUGAAGUGGUAUUGGGGAAGACUGAUGAGUCCUUCAGAGCAUGAUCUGAAAAAAAGCUGAACUAUUUGCAGAAUCUUCCUCACUGAAAGAAGCUUGAAGCUCCUGCAGUCAAAGAUUUUGCCUAAAGUACACUUGUCCUCUGUUGUGCCAGCACACUCCCAGGUACAGGAAAAAUUUUCUGCAUUUAUAAUAAAGCAUAUGGAGCUCAAACUGGCCA
rnacentral:lncRNA from 1 species